GGUGCCAUUUUAUUUCAGCUUGUGACAGGCAAAACCCCAUUUACUGGAAGCAAUCAAAUGCAGUUGCUCCAAAAUAUUGUGAAGUCAACUGAAGUGCAAUUUCCUUCUGAUAGUAAGGAGUUGAGUGCUGACUGCAAAGAUUUGUGCCGCAAGUUGUUGCGUCGUAAUCCAGUGGAACGGCUAACGUUUGAGGAGUUCUUUAAUCACC
rnacentral:misc_RNA from 1 species